UGGUAAUUAGUGUCUAAUCACAAGUUUUCCUAUUUUUAAUUCCCUAUUUUCAAUCUGGAAUGAAAUGAUGAUGAUGAGGUCAAUUUCAUUCGCAGAUACCAUAUUUUCAGUCGAUACGAUAUCGCAACGUGACGGCAAUAUCAGAUUAUCUACUAUUUCUUGCAACAUUCUUCUUCGGGUUUUGAGGGUCACCCAGUGUUUUUCUCCUGUGAACUGAAGGAACUACCUGUGUGAUGAAUAAUUCAUAGAAUAAUUCAGUAAUGAUGUUGUGAAGAAAGAUAAGUGAAUUUUCUCAAGCCUAUUUUCGAUAAUUUAAUUAUAAGGGAAAUGACAUUGGAGAGUUUUCUUUAUUUCUUUGCAGAGCAAAGUGGGAGCUGCUAAAAAUUACUUUCCAAAAACUAUUCUAUUUCCCUUCCUUCUAUUACAAAAAAAUUGAACGAUAGCUAUCGAAAUUAUGGAGGAAAGCCAGAACGAUUCAAUGAAGUGCACAAGUUUAAAAUUAAGAGAUGUAUUUUUAAAAUCUCUUCACGCCUCAAUGACUGCAACAGAACUGCGUGACUCCAUAGACUUUUUACAGAAAUUGAGUUUAUACCGUUGUGUAACAAAGAAAGUAUAAAUAAAAAAGGUAAAGAGAGUAUUUAAACCCUCAAAUAAGAGUGUAGAAAUCAUAAGAUCAGAGCCUCCAACAGCUACAUAAAUUCCCAGUGAGACUGCACUUUCAACAUAGGCAAACGAAUGAUUUUGUUUAUUACAUUUAAUAAUUACUUAUUCUGAGUAAAAUUCACCUGCUCCCAUUUCCCAUUUCACUAUAGAAUUACUAGGAGGCGGUUGGGGAUCACCGAUAACUGAUUCGUAAAGUGAAUUUCCACAUUUUUGUUUUCGAAUGGAAGCAUUGUAAUCGGGAUUUUUUCACAUUUCUUAAUUAUCUAUCAAGGAAUUAUGUAGAAGUGGAUUGAAGCAUAAAGAUACGAAGUGUGAGUGGCACGUCUGUAUGCACUCUACCCCCUCUCAUACUUUUCUGAAAUCAACUUUUAGAAAAUUAGAAAUAAAUUGAGUAGCUAAGUGGUAAUAGGAGAGGAGUCACUUUCGACUAGCUAUCAGUUUUUGAUGAAUAUCUCAAAAUUUAAGGAAACUAGUAGAAUUUUCAUUAUGGCCUUUUUUGUUAAAUUAAUUGACUUCUACAAUAAAGGUGAUGGCAAAAGUUUCGCUGUCUCUCUUAGAUCCAUAGAUAUUCCUUAAAAACUUGAGUGAGAGAUAAGUCAACGUAUCUCGGUUUAAUACUUCGUUAAUGAAUUGACUGAAUUAAUUCUGAAAAAUCUCAAAUUUUCACAGAUCAUAGGUUAUAAUGAGGACAGUGGAAUAUUUUUCAAAAAAAAAGCUAUUGGUUUUUCAAUGAUUCUUCAUAAAUAUCUCCAGAUCUAAUGGAUCGAUUUAUUUUAUUCUUUUCAAAAUGUUCGAGGCCCACCACGUAGAUCAAUUAAAAGCUAUGUACCAGUUCUGAUGACGCUUCCGAGAUGUUUGUAAUUUUCCGUUUUUUCGAAAAAUUCCUUGUUCCCUCUCCAGUAUUCGCAAAAAUUGAGAUAUCAAGUCGAAAUUUGUAAAGAACAUGUCCCUCAUGACGACAACUGGAGAUAUUAAUUGUGUUCUGAAAACGUUCUUUUUCCAAUAUUUUUAAAAUUAGUCAACCAAUUCCAUUUUUUCUUUCUCUCAUUCAUUUUAAUUAAAACGUUGGUUCGCAAUAUAUUGAUUAUUGAAAAUACCCGCUUUUGAGACACCUUUUAUGUCAACAGGAGGUAAACCAAAUCCGUUCGGAGUUAUAUUUUCCAACGAUUUCGCCAAUUUCACUAGUUGUUUUCAUUUCAGCUUUGAAAUUUCAAGGAAACGUCUUCGGGCAAUUGAUUUUUCCGGAGAUUAUUCGUACUUUCUCACGCCUCGAAUGAAAAAAAUUCUUUGGAUUAUUUUCAACGAUCGAUUUCUCGAGUUUCGAUUGCCACAGUUUCAAUUAUCAAUUAGAAAUUUCUCAGGAUUAUAGAGACAUGAACAUUAAAUUGAGAUGAUGUGAUCUGCUUUUCAAUGAAGAAAGGAUUUUUAAUAAAAAUUCCUGUCUUCUGGUAAAUUAAAUUCUCAAGACACCCCAACGGUCAUCUAAACGAAGCUUCCACUUCAAUAUCUUUUCCCUCCCAUCUCCCCUCGCCAAAUUUUCAAAAAAAACAAAUGCCUUAACAAUUACCUCCAUUCUUCAAAUUGACUCCAUCUUCAAUGGGUAUAACCAGUAGUGGAAAAAUGCCAGAAAGUCCAACCAUAACACUUCCCAGUAGUGAGAAAAACCACGGUUGAUACUCGAAAUAAUUCACAAAUUCAUCCCACUGCUCCCAGACCUCGUCCCUCACACUCUCCACAAGUACCUCCAUGUUGGUGCAAUUAUUCCUGCACAAUUCCUCCAUGAAACGAGCCCUCCUGUCAGCCCUCCAAAAUACUCAAUGUUGGAAUGAAAAAAAAUGAUAAAUAAAAAAACACUAAUUCAAAACAGUUGUCCCUCACUGGCCGGUCCUCUUCCAAUGAAAUCUCGUGUUGUCCCUGGAUCCAUACACCAGGUGCAAUAAACAACCGGAAAAAAAAAAUCUCCACCGCAAUUCGGAUGACACGACAACCGAACUGAACUGUCGAAACUCAAUUCCACGAUUAUUAGCCGAUUAAUGAAGUGGUAAACUGAUGAACUUUUUAACGAAAA